rnacentral:rRNA from 1 species
UACGUAGGGUCCAAGCGUUGUCCGGAUUUAUUGGGCGUAAAGAGCUCGUAGGCGGCUCGGUAAGUCGGAUGUGAAAACUCGGGGCUCAACCCCGAGACGCCAUCCGAUACUGCUGUGGCUUGAGUCUGGUAGGGGAGAUCGGAAUUCCUGGUGUAGCGGUGAAAUGCGCAGAUAUCAGGAGGAACACCGGUGGCGAAGGCGAGUCUCUGGGCCGAUACUGACGCUGAGGAGCGAAAGCGUGGGGAGCGAACAGG